AGGCUGAAGGAAUUGCUCAACACGACGAGAGAAGUGCACCUGCUGUCACCACGAAGCGCUAAACAAGGCCACGGACGUCCUCGCGGAGCUCAGGGACGUGCUGACCUUACUCGCGAAAAAGUCCGGAGGUCCCUGGUGUCCCUACCCAUACACCCAGGUGGUGGACGAGUGCUUCCACGCCCACAGCAAGAAGCUCACUUGGUCCCAGGCGCGCCACGUCUGCCAAGGGAUGGGCGGCGAUUUGGCGGAACCGAAGCACCUCUACGCCCUGCAGACUUACUUGGCUCAGACUUACGGCCCCGGCUACUUCUGGGUGGGCGGCACCGACCAGGACACCGAGGGGCGCUGGCACUGGGUGUCCGGGCGGCCUCUGGACCCCGUCGACUGGCUCUUCUCCCGCCCCGACAACCUGGGCGGCGACGAACACUGCCUGGAGAUCGUCAUGUCCGAUUAUCCGAAGUUGUUCAACGACGAGACUUGCUCUAUCGCGCAGAGAUUCAUCUGCCAGUACAGAGGCUGAGGCAGUAAAGAUUAGUUUUACGAA